UUUCCCCGGACUCCCUCCCGGCUAGCCGUGGCGCACUAGCCCCCUUCAGGCUGUGUUCCCGCCGCCAACCCCAGUCCUCUCCCUGUGAUCCGACCAAAGCCCAAGCCUCAGCUCCCAGCCCCGCCCGCCCCGGCGAGUGAGCAGACAAGCCUCUCGCGCUGAAAAAAAAGUUUAGGAUCAGGACUGAAUACUUUCAUUUCUUGCGAUGCCCCCAAGGAUGAGGACUACUGCAAUAAAUCAGAGUGAAAGAACAGUACAGGGGCCUCUCACUGUUGUGGCCUCUCCCGUUGCGGAGCACAGGCUCAGCGGCCAUGGCUCACGGGCACAGCUGCUCCGCGGCAUGUGGGAUCCUCCCGACCGGGGCACGAACCCGUGUCCCCUGCAUCGGCAGGCGGACUCUCAACCACUGCGCCAUCAGGGAAGCCCGAGUUCUGCUUUUGUUUACUCUUUCUUAAAGAUUGUUUGAGCUAAAGAUUAUUCCAGCUGUUAAGAAAUUCCUCCCCCACCUCUGGUACGAUAUUGGCUCAUGAGCUUCCUUCAGUUAUGUUUCUUAUUUUUUUGCCAUCUGACUGUAAGCAGGCAGAGAAUGCCAAACCCAUAGCAGGUGACAAUCGGCAAGAACUGGUCAUCACAGCUGGCAUGGAGAAUGGAAUGUGCUCCUUUCGUAGAGGCUAUGGCCCUGAAAAGAAGGUUUGAAUUUUCAUGAUUCAGACCGUUGACUCUAGCACCUUCCCACCACCUGGAUGGUGCAUGAAGAGUUGACCUUAACUCCAGUCUUAAUACCAUAUCCCUUGCCAGGAUUCCUAAGCUAAACCUAUCAGUGCAUAGCAUUUCAUGGAUGACAAUUACUGUUUAAGAAGUGGGAACGUUAUGAAGGGAAAAAUUAAGUUCAAAGCUCAUGAGUGGCAGGCUCUCUUUCAUUUUCUCUUUCCAGAAAUGAAUAAGGAAACAUGUAGCCUAUUUUCUACUACUGAACAACUUACAUCCGUAAUGAAGCUGACACUGUUAUCAAAAUAGAGAGACAAAAAGAAACCUGGAUCCUUGAUCACGUUGUUGAACUGCUAGAUCAACCAAUUCUGACAUACACUUCCAAGCAUGUGAGCCAAAAAAUGUGCUUACUUUUGAAGCCAGUUUGAUUUGGGUUUUCUGUUACUUGCAUGUAAAAGCAUCUUAAGUGUUUA